GAUGAACGCUGGCGGCGUGCCUAAUACAUGCAAGUCGAGCGAACGGACGAGAAGCUUGCUUCUCUGAUGUUAGCGGCGGACGGGUGAGUAACACGUGGAUAACCUACCUAUAAGACUGGGAUAACUUCGGGAAACCGGAGCUAAUACCGGAUAAUAUUUUGAACCGCAUGGUUCAAAAGUGAAAGACGGUCUUGCUGUCACUUAUAGAUGGAUCCGCGCUGCUUUAGCUAGUUGGUAAGGUAACGGCUUACCAAGGCAACGAUGCAUAGCCGACCUGAGAGGGUGGUCGGCCACACUGGAACUGAGACACGGUCCAGACUCCUACGGGAGGCAGCAGUAGGGAAUCUUCCGCAAUGGGCGAAAGCCUGACGGAGCAACGCCGCGUGAGUGAUGAAGGUCUUCUGAUCGUAAAACUCUGUUAUUAGGGAAGAACAUAUGUGUAAGUAACUGUGCACAUCUUGACGGUACCUAAUCAGAAAGCCACGGCUAACUACGUG
rnacentral:rRNA from 1 species